UACGUAGGGGGCAAGCGUUGUCCGGAAUCAUUGGGCGUAAAGAGCGUGUAGGCGGCUUGGUAAGUCCGCUGUGAAAGUCCAGGGCUCAACCCUGGAAUGCCGGUGGAAACUGUCAAGCUUGAGUCCGGAAGAGGCGAGUGGAAUUCCUGGUGUAGCGGUGAAAUGCGCAGAUAUCAGGAGGAACACCAAUGACGAAGGCAGCUCGCUGGGACGGUACUGACGCUGAGACGCGAAAGCGUGGGGAGCAAACAGG
rnacentral:rRNA from 1 species